rnacentral:rRNA from 1 species
GAUCAUGGCUCAGAUUGAACGCUGGCGGCAGGCCUAACACAUGCAAGUCGAACGGUAACAGGAAGCAGCUUGCUGCUUCGCUGACGAGUGGCGGACGGGUGAGUAAUGUCUGGGAAACUGCCUGAUGGAGGGGGAUAACUACUGGAAACGGUAGCUAAUACCGCAUAACGUCGCAAGACCAAAGAGGGGGACCUUCGGGCCUCUUGCCAUCGGAGUGUGCCCGAGAUGGGAUUAG